rnacentral:rRNA from 1 species
AUUGAACGCUGGCGGCAGGACUAACAAAUGCAAGUCGAACGAGUGGCGGAAGGGUGAGUCAUGUCUGGGAAACUGCCUGAUGGAGGGGGAUAACUACUGGAAACGGUCGCUAAUACCGCAUACCAUCGGAUGGGGCAAGAUGGGAUUAGCUAGUAGGUGGGGUAAAGGCUCACCUAGGCGACGAUCCCUAGCUGGUCUGAGAGGAUGACCAGCCACACUGGAACUGAGACACGGUCCAGACUCCUACGCGAGGCAGCAGUGGGGAAUAUUUCACAAUGGGCGCAAGCCUGAUGCAGCCAUGCCGCGUGUAUGAAGAAGGCCUUCGGGUUGUAAAGUACUUUCAGCGGGGAGGCGUUACCCGCAGAAGAAGCACCGGCUAACUCCGUGCCAGCCGCCGCGGUAAUUC